CACCAGUCCACUGAGUAGAUAAUGAUAAGUUCUCUUUCCAAGUGCAAUAUCUCUCACAUGACUGACCACGAUGUCCUUUGCCAUGUCAGUUGGACAGUCUAGCACAACGUAUUUGGAGCUCCACCUUUGAACAAUGAAAAGUCACUCUUAAUUAUCUUGUGGACGAGUUGGUCAUUCUGGAUUAACGAUGGAACCGAGGAUUGGUCAAUAAAUGGAGAGAUAGAGACAGACACUCGACUGGAUAAUUCAUAAGGCUGACUUGAUGUCAGACCAGAGCCAAUUGCGAAAUGAGUACAUCAGCCUGAUAGCAGCUGGGGAGAUCCUGAGCAAGGCCGCACGGCAGGUCCGCAACGGAUAACCCUAAUGAGGCCCUGAUCUACCAAAGUGUAACAGUCCUGAUGCGGAAGGGUAUGGCGAGGCUUUGAUAAAUUAAUGUAGGUCCGACUUUUUAAAUCAGGUAAUCUUUUCUAUGCUUGAUAAGACCCUUUCAUGAGUGUCAAGUCGGGUAGAUGUGGGCCUGACUUCUCACACUGGAUAACCUUAUCCGGACCUGAUAAGACCCUUUUACGAUUGUCUACUUGGGUAGAUGUCGGUCUGUCUUUCCAAACCAGGUGUUGGAUUUUUCAUGAAAUAAAUAAAUAGAAAGCAAAAAUCAA